rnacentral:rRNA from 1 species
CCCUUAGAUGUUCUGGGCCGCACGCGCGCUACACUGAUGCAUUCAACAAGCCUAGCCUUGACCGAGAGGUCCGGGUAAUCUUUGAAACUGCAUCGUGAUGGGGCUAGAUUAUUGCAAUUAUUAAUCUUCAACGAGGAAUGCCUAGUAAGCGUGAUUCAUCAAAUCGCGUUGAUUACGUCCCUGCCCUUUGUACACACCGCCCGUCGCUCCUUCCGAUUGAAUGUGUUGGUGAGGAGCUCGGAUUGGCAGCAGUUGGUGGUUCGCCACCGGCUAUUGCUGAGAAGUCCUCCAAACCGCCCCAUUUAGAGGAAGGAGAAGUCGUAACA